rnacentral:lncRNA from 1 species
CUUUGGGUAAGAUAGUUCUCUUAAUUGCCCCCAAACUGUUUGCUGGAGAGAAAUCUGUGGUGUUGUUCUGUUGGUAGCUCUUAUUGUUUGAAAACACAGCAGUUGCACGUGGUUAAAAUUCACACAAGGCUAAAGGUAUGUGGUAAGAAAGUGCUCUUCCCAGUUCUAACUCGCAGCGCCCAAUCCCCGCCCCAGAGGCAGCGGCUGUGGCUGUGUCUUGCGUGCCCUUCCAGAGACAUGAAGAUGGAGUGGAAGCUUAACAAGACAGGAAAGGAACAAGGCGGGCAGCCUCUGCCACUACCACUGAUUGGCUCGGAAAGGAGACUCUGGCUGGCACACACCAGAUUUACCAGGACUUGAUUCUGAACUCAGCAUUUCUCCCAAGAGCACCAGUUCCGCCUAAUGAGGGCAACUCAAGCGAAUCCACAGGAAAGAAAAAGGAAAGUGAUAUUUUAAUUUUAUCCAGCCUGAAACACAACGGUACGCAAGGACGGUGCCUGCAAUUCUGACUCAUAAAUGUAUCAAUGCGUUAUUUUAUGGAAUAGAGACGUGUUCUGCCCAAAUUGGCUGUGAAGUGAAUAAACAUUAUUUUUCUACUGAAUUCAGCUAUAAAAUGACUAGAAGUCUUCCCACGGGGUUAGGAAAAAAAAGAAAGCAAAAAGCAGAAACCGACCGCCAGCGGGAAGAAAAGAAACGGCAUGGGGCCGACCGCGGCUGGCUUGCGAAGUGCAGAGGUGACUCCGUGCUCUCUGCGGCUGAUUUCUGUCGCUUUUUCCAAAUACCCCGACUGUAAAGAUCAUGCUCAUUUCCUCCCGCUUUGUUCUCCUUGUUUUCUUUUGAGGGGCUAUUAAACCCAGUGGAGCAGACUGCAAUAUUUUGCUUUACCUAGAGGUCCAUUUAACAUAAGCUUCAAGGGUUUGGCUGUAUAAACCCA